UGCACUGCUGGCAGGAGGGAGCUCAGGCACUCAGCCCUUCUAUUCUCUCUGGAUGUAAAGAAACAAGGAUCAGAGGAGGCAAACAGAAUAAACACAGCAUGUGGAUGGUACCUGAGCCAAUUUACUAGUGGAGGAUUGCUGCAUUGCAAAUAUUCAAGGGGGAAAGAAUACAAAUGCCCAGGCAAAGUGGACCUCCUUAAAGACACAGGACCUGACUUUUGAGUUUAGACUGGAACCAUCACAGGAGGAGAGAGAAAAAAAGAUCCCUGUGCUUCACAUAAGAUCCACAUUCCCUAGAUUUCCCUACUGGAUUCUGUGUCAUAUCUUCACAGCUGCACUGAUCCCAGUGUCAUUCUGGAGAUCCAUUCCCUCAUCUCUCAGAUGAUAGUCAACCAAUCUCUGUUAAGGUGUUACUGGAUAAAAACUUCACACAAUGGGGGGCUGGCCCCG